rnacentral:rRNA from 1 species
UACGUAGGGGGCAAGCGUUGUCCGGAAUCAUUGGGCGUAAAGAGCGUGUAGGCGGCCCGGUAAGUCCGCUGUAAAAGUCAAAGGCUCAACCUUUGAAUGUCAGUGGAUACUGCCGGGCUAGAGUCUGGAAGAGGCGAGUGGAACUCCUGGUGUAGCGGUGAAAUGCGCAGAUAUCAGGAGGAACACCGAUGGCGAAGGCAGCUCGCUGGGACGGUACUGACGCUGAGACGCGAAAGCGUGGGGAGCAAACAGG